UUACUGGUGGUCAAGUGGUUAGGACUUUGUGCUUCCACCGCAAGGGGCCUGGGUUUGAUUCCUAGUCGGGGAA
rnacentral:tRNA from 1 species